rnacentral:rRNA from 1 species
UACGUAGGGGGCGAGCGUUGUCCGGAGUUACUGGGCGUAAAGCGCACGCAGGCGGUCUGCUAAGUUUGGAGUGACAGUUGGUGGCUUAACUGCCAAAGUGCUUCGAAAACUGACAGACUUGAGGGCUUCAGAGGGACACGGAAUUCCGGGUGGAGUGGUAAAAUGCGUAGAGAUCCGGAGGAACACCAAAGGCGAAGGCAGUGUCCUGGGGAGUACCUGACGCUCAGGUGCGAAAGCCAGGGGAGCGAACGGG